rnacentral:rRNA from 1 species
UACGAAGGGGGCUAGCGUUGUUCGGAAUUACUGGGCGUAAAGCGCGCGCAGGCGGUUCUUUAAGUCAGGGGUGAAAGCCCAGAGCUCAACUCUGGAAUUGCCUUUGAAACUAGAGAACUUGGGUACGGGAGAGGUGAGUGGAAUUCCGAGUGUAGAGGUGAAAUUCGUAGAUAUUCGGAAGAACACCAGUGGCGAAGGCGGCUCACUGGCCCGUUACCGACGCUGAGGCACGAAAGCGUGGGGAGCAAACAGG